rnacentral:rRNA from 1 species
GGGGGGGGGGGGGGGGGGGGGGGGGGGGGGGGGGGGGGGCGGACGGGCGGGGAGCGGGCGGCGCGGAGGUUAGCGGCGGACGGGGGAGUAACGCGUGGAUAACCUACCUAUAAGACUGGGAUAACUUCGGGAAACCGGAGCUAAUACCGGAUAAUAUUUUGAACCGCAUGGGUCAAAAGUGGAAGACGGUCUUGCUGUCACUUAUAGAUGGAUCCGCGCUGCAUUAGCUAGUUGGUAAGGUAACGGCUUACCAAGGCAACGAUGCAUAGCCGACCUGAGAGGGUGAUCGGCCACACUGGAACUGAGACACGGUCCAGACUCCUACGGGAGGCAGCAGUAGGGAAUCUUCCGCAAUGGGCGAAAGCCUGACGGAGCAACGCCGCGUGAGUGAUGAAGGUCUUCGGAUCGUAAAACUCUGUUAUUAGGGAAGAACAUAUGUGUAAGUAACUGUGCACAUCUUGACGGUACCUAAUCAGAAAGCCACGGCUAACUACGUG